rnacentral:rRNA from 1 species
GACGAACGCUGGCGGCGUGCUUAACACAUGCAAGUCGAACGGAAAGGCCCUGCUUUUGUGGGGUGCUCGAGUGGCGAACGGGUGAGUAACACGUGAGUAACCUGCCCUUGACUUUGGGAUAACUUCAGGAAACUGGGGCUAAUACCGGAUAGGAGCUCCUGCUGCAUGGUGGGGGUUGGAAAGUUUCGGCGGUUGGGGAUGGGCUCGCGGCUUAUCAGCUUGUUGGUGGGGUAGUGGCUUACCAAGGCUUUGACGGGUAGCCGGCCUGAGAGGGUGACCGGCCACAUUGGGACUGAGAUACGGCCCAGACUCCUACGGGAGGCAGCAGUGGGGAAUAUUGCACAAUGGGCGGAAGCCUGAUGCAGCAACGCCGCGUGCGGGAUGACGGCCUUCGGGUUGUAAACCGCUUUCGCCUGUGACGAAGCGUGAGUGACGGUAAUGGGUAAAGAAGCACCGGCUAACUACG